rnacentral:lncRNA from 1 species
GUUUAAUCUCCCAUUCGGCACUUACUUCUGGAAGCUUCUUUCCCUUUCCUUCCCACCACUCAUUGGCCUUUCACCCCCUAGUUUUUUGUCUGUGUAUGGGACUGUCUUCCCCCACUCCCCCUUGACUGAAGUUCCUUGAGAGCAGCAGCCCUCUUUUUAUCAGGGAAGAGAUUUGAAGCUCAGGACAUUCUUAUCCAAGUAGAUGCUAGCCACCUGGGUAGUCAAGACAGGGCCCUGCACAGUUAAUGUGAAUCUUGUCAUAAUGCCAGGGUUAUUGUUUUGCAAGGAGCUGGUCAUAGAACACUAGAUUGCAUUGUCACUGGGAAAUAAGCUCAUUCUAUUAGCUUGUUUCUCAGCUAGCUUAUGUAGAAAUUUGCCACAGUUGUUACUGCUGGGCACCUGCCCUGGAUCUGAUCAUCAAUUAUAUCAUCUCUUCCAUCUGAUGGACUGCACCUCACCCCUUGCUUUUUCAGAGCUGGCGAAGCUGGGCCAAGGAAAGCGAUAGUGCCAGCUGAGUGGAAUGUGCAGGAAGGGACCGAGGAGGGGCACUAUGUACUGGAGAAAAGAGAUGGGGUCUCCAGGACAGGGGUGAGGACACUAGACUGAGGGCACAAAGGAAGGAAACCACAAGGAAGUAGAGUAGGGAAGUGGGGAGCAUGCUGAGGAGAGAGGUCAAGAGAUGGUGACCGCUUUCUGCAUGCCCCAAGGAGAUGGUGAUGACACUCCCAAGUCCAUGUGGGAAUCCCUCCUUAUGCGGGCCUCAGUCUGUCAUCUUCCUUGGAGCAGGACCAAAGUAAAUAAGAUAAAGUCACAAUUUCUCAUCCUUCUUCACUCAACUUUUCUUUGAGGAGAGAAUACAGCAGUUUCAAGGACAAGGGAUUCGUACCACUGCUCCUCACUCAGUAAAUAGCAGAGACAGAAUUUGAAUGUGAGUCUGACUGAUUCCAAAACCCAUGUAAUAUGCCUGCAUUGAAACAGAGGAAAAUCCAAGGAAAGUGCACACAGCUUGGAGA